UACAGAGGUGGCAAGCGUUGUUCGGAAUUACUGGGCGUAAAGGGCGCGUAGGCGGCCUUCUCAGUCAGACGUGAAAUCCCCAGGCUUAACUUGGGAACUGCGUCUGAUACUGGAAGGCUUGAGUGCGGGAGAGGGAUGUGGAAUUCCAGGUGUAGCGGUGAAAUGCGUAGAUAUCAGGAGGAACACCGGUGGCGAAGGCGGCUUUCUGGACAGAAACUGACGCUGAUGCGCGAAAGCGUGGGGAGCAAACAGG
rnacentral:rRNA from 1 species